rnacentral:rRNA from 1 species
UACGUAGGGUCCAAGCGUUAUCCGGAAUUACUGGGCGUAAAGAGUUGCGUAGGUGGCAUAGUAAGUAGAUAGUGAAAGCGUGUGGCUCAACCAUACAUCCAUUAUCUAAACUGCUAAGCUAGAAGAUGAGAGAGGUAGAUGGAAUUCCUGAUGUAGGGGUAAUAUCCGUAGAUAUUAGGAGGAACACCGAUGGCGUAGGCAGUCUACUGGCUCAUUCUUGACACUAAGGCACGAAAGCGUGGGGAGCAAACAGG